AAGGCUGGUACAUGUUCUGGCAGGAAGGUGUUCUUUCAUCCAAACACAGCAGGAUACAUACCGAAAGAUUCAUUCCCACUCUUUCUGUAAUCACCCUGUCUGCUCCUUCUCACUCAAGGAGGCAGAGCUUGAUGUUCUGCAUGAAGGUUUUCCCCAUCUCCUUUAGUCAUAGUGGGUGAAAAGUGACGUGAGACUCUCACACCCUUCUGUCACAGAAUUAUAGAAUGGCUGGGGAUGGAAGAGACCUCAGGAGAUCCUCUAGUCCAACGCAAGCAGCUUCACCCAGAGCAGGUUGCACAGGGUUGCAUCCAGGCAGGUUGUGCCCAUCUCCAGAGAAGGAGACCACAACAUGUUUCAGUCCUCUUUCAGCCUCAACAUAAAGAAGAUUUCCCGCAUAUUCAGAUGGAAUUUCCUGUGAUUGCAAAACAGUGUGAAAUGAACUGAGGAUUUACUAUAGCUACAACGACAGUACCACUACUUGCAGGACUAGAUGCUCAGGAACAUUUGCAGCACUGCUCAGUGGAUAACCCAGUUCAGGUGUGGGAUUUCUACCACACACACAUAACAAAACUCCUGCCUUUCCAUAUGGGCCUUCCAAGACUUCUGGGAGCAUAUC